AUUGAACGCUGGCGGCAUGCCUAACACAUGCAAGUCGAACGGUAACAGAACUAGCUUGCUAGUUGCUGACGAGUGGCGGACGGGUGAGUAAUGUAUAGGAACUUGCCCAGUAGUGGGGGACAACUUAUGGAAACGUAAGCUAAUACCGCAUAAUCUCUACGGAGGAAAGCAGGGGCUCUUUGGACCUUGCGCUAUUGGAUAGGCCUAUAUUAGAUUAGCUAGUUGGUGAGGUAAUGGCUCACCAAGGCGACGAUCUAUAGCUGGUUUGAGAGAAUGAUCAGCCACACUGGGACUGAGACACGGCCCAGACUCCUACGGGAGGCAGCAGUGGGGAAUAUUGCACAAUGGAGGAAACUCUGAUGCAGCAAUGCCGCGUGUGUGAAGAAGGCCUUAGGGUUGUAAAGCACUUUCAAUAGGGAGGAAAAGUAAGUAGUUAAUACCUGCUUACCGUGACGUUACCUAUAGAAGAAGGACCGGCUAACUCCGUGCCAGCAGCCGCGGUAAUACGGAGGGUCCGAGCGUUAAUCGGAAUUACUGGGCGUAAAGCGCGCGUAGGCGGAUAUUUAAGUCAGAUGUGAAAUCCCUGGGCUCAACCUAGGAACUGCAUUUGAAACUGGAUAUCUAGAGUAUGGUAGAGGUGAGUGGAAUUUCAGGUGUAGCGGUGAAAUGCGUAGAGAUCUGAAGGAACAUCAGUGGCGAGGCGACUCACUGGGGCCAUACUGACGCUGAGGUGCGAAAGCGUGGGAAGCAAACAGGAUUAGAUACCCUGGUAUUCCACGCCUAAACGAUGUCAACUAG
rnacentral:rRNA from 1 species